GACCUUCUCUUCGGAGCAGAGGUGACAGGUGGUGCAUGGUUGUCGUCAGCUCGUGUCGUGAGAUGUUGGGUUAAGUCCCGCAACGAGCGCAACCCCUAUUGUUAGUUGCCAUCAUUCAGUUGGGCACUCUAGCGAGACUGCCGGUAAUAAACCGGAGGAAGGUGGGGAUGACGUCAAAUCAUCAUGCCCCUUAUGACCUGGGCUACACACGUGCUACAAUGGCUGGUACAACGAGUCGCAAGCCGGUGACGGCAAGCUAAUCUCUUAAAGCCAGUCUCAGUUCGGAUUGUAGGCUGCAACUCGCCUACAUGAAGUCGGAAUCGCUAGUAAUCGCGGAUCAGCACGCCGCGGUGAAUACGUUCCCGGGCCUUGUACACACCGCCCGUCACACCACGAGAGUUUGUAACACCCGAAGUCGGUGAGGUAACCUUUUUGGAGCCAGCCGCCUAAGGUGGGAUAGAUGAUUGGGGUGAAGUCGUAACAAGGUAGCCGUAUCGGAAGGUGCGGCUGGAUCACCUCCUUU
rnacentral:rRNA from 1 species